GGGUGAUCACUAAGGAUAUAUCUCCAUUUUAGAGAUUAGGGCACUAAGGCCCGAGGUGGGGAGUCUCCAGACCCUCCCUGGGGUCUUCUCAGGCUGAAGCCUAGGCUGAGUGAGCCCCAACUUGGUGCCAGAGGCCAAAGGAAGUAUCCCCCUAGAAAACGUGACCAGCAGGCUGACCAGUCCAGAGGAGUAGGAAGUGGCCACCCAUCUUACAUCACCUGAGGGUACAGAAAAGAACAUGAGACCUGAGUCUCUCCCACUGACCCACCACAGUGCCCCAAACCCUCUGUGAGUCACACCCUGAUGGACAAGACAUCCUGCAAGAAGGGGAAGCCCAGGCUUGAGCAUGGGGCUCUGCUCCAGAGCGAUGAAACCCGAGCCUGAGGCUCUUGCAGAGGCCCGUGGACACAGGGGUGGGGGACAAGAGAAUUCAGAGCUCUUCCCAUUUCUCCCCUCAAACUUCCAAAAGUGUCCUGAACCAGGCUUCACAGGGAAGCAGAUCGCUGCAUCACAGGUGGCAAGGGGGGAGGGAAGAAUUAGGUCUGAACCCGAGGAAGGCGCAGCCACAUUA
rnacentral:lncRNA from 1 species